rnacentral:misc_RNA from 1 species
AGAAGUUGUUUCCUCACAUCCUGCGCUCUCCUCAAGGACCGAGACUGAACAAAGUUCUCAAAACACCAAGGGCCUGAAAAGUUUUUGGCUUUCCACGCUUCAUAAACUGCAAGCAAAGUCAGAUGAUCUCCCUCUGGCUGGAAAAACUUUGCCCUCUUCUGAUCAGCCUGGGCUUGUUUUUCCCUUGGCCUGUAAAAGAUAUUUCCAGUCUGAAUCAUUGCAAUUAUGGUCAAAAUCUCGUCACUGCAUCCAAGAUCCACACUAGCUAGCA